UACGUAGGGGGCAAGCGUUGUCCGGAUUUAUUGGGCGUAAAGAGCGUGUAGGCGGUUUGGUAGGUCCGCUGUGAAAACUCGAGCUCAACCUCGAGACGCCGGUGGAAACCAUCAGACUAGAGUCCGGAAGAGGAGAGUGGAAUUCCUGGUGUAGCGGUGAAAUGCGCAGAUAUCAGGAAGAACACCGAUGGCGAAGGCAGGUCUCUGGGCAUUAACUGACGCUGAGGAGCGAAAGCAUGGGGAGCGAACAGG
rnacentral:rRNA from 1 species